AAGUAAAGCACUACAGAUCAUUUAUGGUGGUUGGAAGGAGUCAUACACCGAUCUUGGUCGCUUCCUAUCUAUACUACAGCGCGUGAAUCCCGGGACUCAAUGGCGUCUUGAUCCUAAAAUCCUACCAAAUGGCGUUAGGCAGUUUGGACGAGUAUUUUGGGCAUUCGGGCCGUCAAUUAAUGGGUUUUCUUAUUGUCGAC
rnacentral:lncRNA from 1 species